GUGUCUACCCUGAAUGCGCCCAAUCUUGUCUGAUCUCAGAAGCUAAGCAGGGUCGAGCUGGUUAGUUCUUGGAUGGGAGGAAGGACAGGAUUUAAACACA
rnacentral:rRNA from 1 species